CGGAAAGUUGUCCAAACUUGGUCAUUUAGAGGAAGUAAAAGUCGUAACAAGGUCUCCGUAGGUGAACCUGCGGAGGGAUC
rnacentral:rRNA from 1 species